rnacentral:piRNA from 1 species
ACAGCAGCGAUGGAGGCCUGAGUCCCAGC